rnacentral:rRNA from 1 species
GGUUAAGCGACUAAGCGUACACGGUGGAUGCCCUGGCAGUCAGAGGCGAUGAAGGGCGUGCUAAUCUGCGAUAAGCGCCGGUAAGGUGAUAUGAACCGUUAUAACCGGCGAUACCCGAAUGGGGAAACCCAGUGUGACUCG